rnacentral:rRNA from 1 species
GGAUCCAGACUUUGAUCCUGGCUCAGGAUGAACGCUAGCUACAGGCUUAACACAUGCAAGUCGAGGGGAAACGAUAUUGGAAGCUUGCUUCCGAUAGGCGUCGACCGGCGCACGGGUGAGUAACGCGUAUCCAACCUGCCCAUCACUUGGGGAUAACCUUGCGAAAGUAAGACUAAUACCCAAUGACGUCCAUAGAAGACAUCUGAAGUGGAUUAAAGAUUUAUCGGUGACGGAUGGGGAUGCGUCUGAUUAGCUUGUUGGCGGGGUAACGGCCCACCAAGGCGACGAUCAGUAGGGGUUCUGAGAGGAAGGUCCCCCACAUUGGAACUGAGACACGGUCCAAACUCCUACGGGAGGCAGCAGUGAGGAAUAUUGGUCAAUGGACGAGAGUCUGAACCAGCCAAGUAGCGUGCAGGAAGACGGCCCUAUGGGUUGUAAACUGCUUUUAUAAGGGAAUAAAGUGAGUCUCGUGAGACUUUUUGCAUGUACCUUAUGAAUAAGGACCGGCUAAUUCCGUGCCAGCAGCCGCGGUAAUACGGAAGGUCCGGGCGUUAUCCGGAUUUAUUGGGUUUAAAGGGAGCGUAGGCCGGAGAUUAAGCGUGUUGUGAAAUGUAGACGCUCAUCGUCUGCACUGCAGCGCGAACUGGUUUCCUUGAGUACGCACAAAGUGGGCGGAAUUCGUGGUGUAGCGGUGAAAUGCUUAGAUAUCACGAAGAACUCCGAUUGCGAAGGCAGCUCACUGGAGCGCAACUGACGCUGAAGCUCGAUAGUGCGGGUAUCGAACAGGAUUAGAUACCCUGGUAGUCCGCACGGUAAACGAUGGAUGCCCGCUGUUGGUCUGAAUAGGUCAGCGGCCAAGCGAAAGCAUUAAGCAUCCCACCUGGGGAGUACGCCGGCAACGGUGCAACUCAAAGGAAUUGACG